rnacentral:lncRNA from 1 species
GUUUGUUUUAAUGGUUAGUCUUAUUUUAAUAGUUAUUUUACUUAAGUAGGAUUAAUUAGUAAAUGAGGUCGUAUUUGUAGUCUCGUUCACGGAGAAAGAAUAAAAUUUGGGCUCAAACAACCCAUUUUUAGGCUUAAUAACUCAAGCCCAGUACUCCUAAAACCCUAUAUUUAGACUAUAAAAAUAACCCUACACCUAGUUAGACCUCAGUCGUUUCCUAUCAAAGAGCCCCCCCCCCCCCCCAAAUCGGAUUUUGGCCUCUCUUUCACAUUUCAAGAGCUAGCUUCAUCUUCUUACAAGAAAACAAAAAAGAAGGCAGCCGUUUGAACCAUAGAGACCUCACGCUAAAGACCAAAAAAGAGGCUUCAGCACAAAAAGGACCAGCUGCUGCUCUCUUCAUCUUCCUCCUCUUCAACGCUGUCACCAUCGCCGGCGAACUAGGCAGCCCAUCACACUGUUAAUUUCUAGUACUCUGCUGCCCCUUCCCCGAAUUUUCUAGACACUCAUCACACACAUAGUGACGAGAGACGAACAAUAGCGAAGAGGAGGUGUGACAAGCUGCCUAUCUUCAUAACGCCAAAAGCUCCAAAAGCUCUACUGGAAAACGCAGCAACACAGCAAGGAAAACAAUUUCAAAAAUCAAUCUAGACAGCCCGCUUCUGCCCUGUUCUAACCCAGUCAAAGUUAUGUCCAUUUUCGGGUUCGCCGGCGAGUUUCGAUACUCCGUCUGGGGGCUGGUCAUGGUCCUGUCCAUUUCUGCUUGUUCAAGUUAUUAAGCAUCAAGUUUUGUUUGGAUGAGGAAAAGUUGAAGUUCAUAGAGGCAAUAUAGCUAAAGUCAGUAAUUGUGACAAUUAUAUUGGAUUUGGAAAUCACCUCGCAAAGCCAUUAUCCGUGAUAAAUGGCGCGAAAACUUGAGCUGUGAAGAAGAUGUUAAGGUAUUGGAGAAAUGUAUGCGUGUUCUAUUACUCAAGUGUGAAAACUUGAGCUUCAGGUACUGAACCGAAACGUAGAGGCUCAUUCUGUUUCCAUUUUACACAAUUGUUUAAAUGUUUGGAGCAAGUCGUUUGUUUAAUUUGUUGAUAUGCUGUAUUUGUUCUGCUCAUUACUCUCUGUUGUUGGCAGUAACUUGUUGGUUCGAGAGUGAGGCAUAAAAUCUUAGUUCAUUUAAAUCUAAUUUGACACUUAACAAGUAUGAGUAAAGUUGGGUUUAAACUCAUUUAAGCAGAAUUUAGUUUACAUCAAUCUAACUUUAAGGUGAUUUCUUCUGUUUAUCCGAGUUAAUUUAAUCGUUAGGAGUAUGCUUAGGCCAUUAAUAUUCAUAAACAUCGUAGCUUUUUCCUUAGGCAUGAUUAAUAAUAAAUCAUCGUGACUACGGGUACGGUUCCCGUGACGUAGUUGUGAUACACAAUUCUAAAAUCCAGGGGUACAUUUAUGUGACCCGGCCACAAUUUCAUCUUGUUAAUAAAAUAAACAUGUUGUAGAUCGUGUGUACGGUUCCCGUGACAUGAUUCGUAUUGUGUAAUCAAAUAAUUAGUUGUAUGGCAAUCGGAUUUUAAAAGCGGUUUUAAAAAGGGACAAAAUGCACAUAGGUUUCAAAAAUGUAAUUAAUCAGAUAAUUAGGCCAAUAAUAAUAGUUGAGCGACCGCGCUAAAAUCACGGAACCCGAGAAUGCCUAACACCUUCUGUUGGGUUAACAGAAUUUCUUACCUAAAUUUCUGUGUUCGUAAACCAUAAAUAAGAGUCAAACUUCCUCGAUUCGGGAUUCAAACCGGUGACUUGGGAUCAUCUCCACUCUGAAUUUAAUAUAGUCAUUUCGAUUGUCACUUUAAUUGGAAAAACUCCUCUAUACCCCCUUCCUGUUGUAGGAAGUGGAGGUGUAACAGCUCUGGCGACUCUGCUGGGGACAAGAACCCAAAAUCUCUGGUUCAGGGUUCUGAAUUCGAGCUUAGAAUAACUGUUAUAGUUGGAUUUUAUUUAUUAUCUUAUUUUUACGUGUUUGAGUUUAAUGCGCUAAAUGUUGCUUUUUGCCGCUUUGAUAUUAUUUGAACUCUGUAUAAACUGCUGCAAAACCCCUCUCUUCUAAUCUUCUGGGAAGUGCACACUGACGUGACUUCUUUUUUGUUAGUGUCAUAUCCAAUUUAGAACAAGGUUCGGACAAGUUGCAAAACCGGAUGAUCUUUUGGUUACCGGUACGUUGCCCCCCUCAGCUCGAGUUAUUCGCUCGGGUAAGCCAGGUCUAGAACAAUACACUCAGGUUUUAAACCUAGAAUAAUAUAUCUUCAUGCCGAAUCCAUAGUAGGAACGCUUGAUUACAUCAUGUGCAUUUGACUUUGGGGACUCGACACAGGGGUUGGGUCCGUCUAGGACAGGUGUACCCAAAAAUAAAAGACCAUCCUGAUGCAUCCUAUGUGCUACAUGUUGCAAUUUUCAAGGGUAAAAGGGUCAUUUGGCAGACCAAUGAGGUUUGGGGAUAAAUAAGAAAAACAGGAUGAAGUGUAAAAGAUAAAGCAAGCAGGGCUCAGUUGUAUUUUUCUUUCACAUUUUUUUUAGAAAAAGACAAAAAAAAAUGAAAAAUCCAAAAAGAUUUUGCACUUUCCCAUCAUUUUCCAAAAAAAAAAGAGAAGAAUAAAAAAAAGGAAAAAUAAAAUCCAAAAAGAGUUUACAAGUUUCAUCAUUUUUUCAAAAAAAAAUGGGGGACAAAAAAUAUAUUUUUCUCUAAAUUAGUUGUUUUUUUUAAUUCUCGCCCGUAUCUAAUCUUUCCGAACUACGCGAACCUGAUUCUUGUCUCUCGGGGCGGGAUACGUAGGCAACCUAGAUAGUGUCCGGUCUUCCUAGUAAGUCUUAGGUUCUUGGCUUCGCGGGGUUGUAGCCAAAUCUUGCAUGUCUAGUCACUUUUGGCCACAUUAGUCAUUUUGCAAAAUAUGGCUAUUUUUGCAAAGUGGUUUGUUUAAUUAUCUGGAGAGUCUUGAACCCACAAUUAGGUGUCUCUUUACUUUAAGACCCAUCCUUGUCGAAUUUGCAUAUCUAGCCGUCUUUUGCCACAUUGGUCGUUCUUGCAAAAUGGGGUCAUUUUUGCAAAAGUGGUUCAGUGACCCAUGUCUUAGAGUUCUAAGUCCACAACAAGAUGUUCUCUCCGUUUAAUGUCCAUUGUGCUGAAUUUGCAUGCUUAGCCAUUUUUUGUCUACAUAUGUCAUUUAUACAAAAUAGAUCAUUUAUGCAAAGUAAUUUUUCCAUGUCUUGGAGGUCACUUUUGUUGAGUUUGCACUUCUAGCCACCUUUUGGCCACAUAAGUCAUUUUGAAAAAAUAGUCUCAAUCAUAUCUUGCAUGUGUCCAAUAGGAAGUCUUAUUGUCUCACAUAGUGUUGGUUUGAGUUUUCUCAUACAGGUGUGGGUUUACUUACCGGAGUUUGAGCACGACAUACACCCCGGGACCAUCCAGUCAGGAUCGCUCAUUCAGGAGUUGCUUAAGGAGAUUUUUAUUUUAUUUUUAUGUUUUGAGUCUGUUUUACUUUUAUGUCGUCUUUUACCUUCUAGUUUUAUACAGUAAUGUCGAG